rnacentral:lncRNA from 1 species
CCUAUGGCAUAAAACGAGGGGUAACCCCCCCUUAAGCAUAACCCAGGGGUUAGGGUAGGGGUAAGGGUAGGGGUAAGUGGUUACCCAUGUGGCUAUGUACGAAGGGGGGUGGGUAACCUAACCCCGGGGUAGGGGUAACCCCUUACCAAGGGGUAACAAAGGGGUAGGGGUAACCCCUUACCAAGGGGUAACAAAGGGGUCGGGGUAAUAUUGUACUGAGGGGUAACAGACAGGGUAACCCGUGUUACAAGUGUUCCUUGUCCGUAUGCCGGGCCAUAUGCUGGUGUCAAUGGAUUGUAAGCAUGUCCCUGUCCAACCUGCCUACACAUGCUAUCACAGCUGUCUCAUCCAUCUAUGUGAGCACGUAUGCCUAUUUCGCCUAUGUAAAAAAAUAUUUGCAUGCCUCUCUAUACACUUCCAUCCAUGCAUAUGCCUGUAUCAAGCUCACAUGUCUACACAUACAAACAUACAUGUUCACCAAACACUUCGAGUGUACAAUUGUAAAGAUUGCCUCACCAACACAAGCCUUGCAGGGCUGUAGAGCCCGCCCAUGGCCCCAGGCUCG